rnacentral:rRNA from 1 species
CCUACGGGUGGCAGCAGUGGGGAAUAUUGCGCAAUGGGCGAAAGCCUGACGCAGCGACGCCGCGUGAGGGACGAAGGUCCUCGGAUUGUAAACCUCUGUCAGCAGGGAAGAACGGUCACUGUGCUAAUCAGCAGUGAAUUGACGGUACCUGCAAAGGAAGCACCGGCUAACUCCGUGCCAGCAGCCGCGGUCAUACGGAGGGUGCGAGCGUUAAUCGGAAUUUCUGGGCGUAAAGCGCUCGUAGGCGGUAUGUCAAGUCAAGGGUGAAAUCCCCGCGCUCAACGUGGGAACUGCCGUUGAAACUGGCAAACUGGAGAGUGUGAGAGGAUAGUGGAAUGCCAGGUGUAGGAGUGAAAUCCGUAGAUAUCUGGAGGAACAUCAGUGGCGAAGGCGACUAUCUGGCACAUAACUGACGCUGAGGAGCGAAAGCGUGGGUAGCAAACAGGAUUAGAUACCCUUGUAGUC